GAUCAGUAAAGAUGAAUGAUGUUGGCGACUGUUUGCUUCAGCUGUAAUUUAUUCUCAUCAGGAUAAUUGGUGAUUUGCUUAUGAUUUGUGAUAACGCAGCCGUAUAAAUCAUCCCAUUUAUUACUUUGCAUUAGGAUAGUGAACUGGUCUCAGCUUUGAUGAGUGCAGGUUCAGUCUUACCUGCCUUUAUGAAGCCAAAAGACCAAAAGAAAUGACAGAAAGGGUCGUUGUCCUGCUUGACUUAAAACCCUGUCAGGCAGGUUUUCCUCCCUUUUACAGAGUAAGACUCAAGUGACUGGAUAUGUGAGAUGUUUUGCAUCUAAUGCUAAGUAUUAAUAUUCAUUUGUCGCUGUGAAGAUGUCGUUUCAGAAACAUGAAGGGAAAAUCGCUGAAGAAGGGACGAGACUGGAUCCUGGAAAAGAAGGAGAGGAGGAGGAGACAGGGACGGGAGGUUCGAGCCGACACUAAAUACACUGGACGUAAGCGAAGACCUCAUUUCUAGCUCUGACUCAUGCAGCUGCGCCUUCAUUAGCCCUCCUCUGUAACACACAGACACACAGAACCACCUCUGGAACUGCAGAGUGUUUGGACUCUGAUUUAUUUUUCAGCUCUUUAAUUCAAGUGGAUGUGAUGCAAGAGCAAAAUGCAAUUACAGCCAGUCGUUUUUAUAUUUGGUCGAGUGUUCCUCGCUAAAAGCGGUGAGAUUGCACUCACAAUGUUCAGUUUGGCUGGAAGUACAUGAACAAAUGUGUGUGUACUCACAGCUGGUGGCAAAAACCACAGUGAAGAAAAAGCAAAACAGUAUAAAUAAAUCAAAGCAAUUUUAUAAGUGGCCAUAUCUUUGUGGUUUAUUGUAUUAUCUGCAAUGUUUCUCAAUUAAAACUAAACAAGAAAUGUA